rnacentral:lncRNA from 1 species
GCAUUACCUAAAACGAGCAACCUAAAUUCUUUUGUGGAGUGAAUGACAUGUGAGGCCGUGUUGUCAUCCUGUCCCUCUUGUUCUACGCCGGCGAGGAGAUGCGCCUGUGCUAUGGAGGCGUCCCUGUCGUGCGCCAGUGCCCAGGAAAGGCCACUGUGGGAAGGUCGCCCCGGGGUAGAGGAGGUUCGGUGGGGAGGAGGCGCAAGGCCACAUUGGGAGGAGGCAAGUAGAGCAGAGGUCGCC